CACUGCUGAGGAGUCCCACAAUAGGACGAAAUGGCCGUCCAUGGU
rnacentral:hammerhead_ribozyme from 1 species